GGCUGCUGCGGGCGCGUCUGGACCUGGCUGGACGUCACACCACGGCCGGCAGAGCGGACCCAAGAGAGGACAUAGACGUUCUUCAAAGGUUGAAAAAAGAAAGAAUGGGGAACAUUAGCAUCAUGGGCUGAGCAAGGUUACAGAAGAUGUGAAAGGGGCCAUCUUAGUCCACUGGGCCAGUGAAACGCAUUUGUCCAAGACAUUGUGACUUCAGAGAAGAACCAGAAGCUGCACAAUGUUAGAUCCAGUGAAUAAGGUAAACGAGCACACACCGCCAUGUUCUCACAAGCCCGUGUUUCUGUUGGAUGGCGCGUGGCAGCAGCAUUCACAGAAUUUUUGAUCACACCUCACAGAGACACUCACGAAAGAGAAUUUCCAGAACUGCUUCGGAAAGUGGUAUGAAUUAUGGGAUAAGUGUGUUUGAAGUGAGGGGGAGUAUAUUGAGGGGAAAUAAGAGUGAUGUGUCUUUUCCAGGAAUAAUUUUUAAAAUUUAAAUAUUCACCAUACAUUUUGAUCACCCCUUGUAUGCAGAUGGGUGCUUAUGGAUGUGAAGAUGUACAUGACAAAAUGCCUUUGGGGAUGCAUAAGUUUCAGCGUGGCACAUCACAGAGUUCCCAGACAGACUGGUUGUGGGAACUCCAACUGUCUAUAUUCCCAGCUUCAAAUUCAAUAGCUGUAACAAGGAACUUCACAUUAAUUGGUCUCCAAAUUUAUUUUACUCCGAAUUGAUCCUGUGAUGUGAGGGCACACAGGGGUUGUGUGCACAGUUUUUCACCUGAAAAACUAGAAAUAAGACUUAAAAGCUCAGAAUAGAGAAAGCACUUUACAUUCAAUUCAUGUCACAUUUUUAAAGUUCUAAGACAGCAAUUAUACUCUUAAAUCCCUAGCUGCUGCUGUUUUUCACAUUUGAUUAGAGGGUGAAAUGUGACAGAACCUGUAAUUUUGCUGUCUUAAUUAUUAUGUUCCAGAGGCUUAAAGUAGCCAGUAGAAUACAUAAAUGCCAAUCUUUUUCUUCUUUUCAAUGAGGGGAAAACCACAAUAGUAACUUGGAUUCCCAUUGUGUCUUUUCACCAAGAAGCUAAGAACAUCUUAUGGAAUUGCUAGAAGACCAGAGGAAAGCAGACCUUGGGCAUGAUCCCUACUGGCAUCUCAAACCAUGACAGAGGCAGGGGCAGUUCAAAGCACCUCGCUGCCUGCCCUCUUCUGUAUGGAGAAAAAGAGCUGCCUCCUGCUUCCCACUUUUUUUUUAUGCUUUCUUAUUUUAUUAAAGCUCCUGGCUUCGUAAUCCCUGUGUACAUUGGGGUCCCUGGGCAUCAAAACCGUGCUCAUGCUACUUGCCACUCACAUGCAGUCAUGAAACAGCUCGUGAGAAACGAAAAGCAUGUACCACACAAAGGAAUGAUUUUGGAGGGAGUUGAAUGUAGCUGGUCACAAAGUUAAUUCAUGAGCAACAGAUCAGAUUCCCCCUUCCCUGCUCUUUCAAUUUGCCAACACCGUGGGUCUCCAGCUGGUGGGCUUCCCCUGUACUAGGGACUUGGGAAGACUGUGUGGGCUGUCAUUUCACUGUCAUUGUGCCUUAGCAUUCCUUAGGACAGUGCAGGUAUGACACACCAACAAAGCUACCACCGGAUGCAAACCUUAUGGUACAGGGCAGUUAGCAGUUUCUGAGGGGUUUUACAUGUGUCAGGGCUCUGUCUUUCUGUUCUUAGAAUAGCAAACAUUUUAUGGUGUUAGUUGGCAGCGCAUCACCCCAUGCUACC